AUCUAUGAACUUGACAUAGCUCACUGUCUUGUUGUGCCCAAUUAAUGUGCAUAGAGGCAACUUCGAGUUUCGUAGGUCAUAGUAAUAUAUCUUAUGAUCUGCUGAACCAAAAGCAAGGGCCCGACCUGAAUCAACAGGGAACUGAACACAGCAGACAUUGGCUUUUGUUUUUAUCGUUCCAACACUGACUCCCUGAUUGAUAUUCCAAAGCUUCACAGAACCAUCAUCGCUCCCACUUGCCAACAUGGUUGGAUCUGCUAAAGAAAAAUCAACAGACCAGACACGUUUCUCAUGCUCUCUCAUCUCCAUGAAAAGCUGACUUCUUG
rnacentral:misc_RNA from 1 species